CCGCAACGAGCGCAACCCUCAUUGUUAGUUACUACCAUUCAGUUGAGGAUUCUAAUGAGACUGCCAACGACAAGUUGGAGGAAGGUGGGGAUGACGUCAAAUCAUCAUGCCCUUUAUGACCUGGGCUACAAACGUACUACAAUGGCCAAUACAAAGAGAUGCGAAACGGUGACGUGAAGCGAACCUCAGAAAGUUGGUCUCAGUUCAGAUUGAAGUCUGCAACUCGACUUCAUGAAGGCGGAAUCGCUAGUAAUCGCGGGUCAGCAGACCGCGGUGAAUACGUUCCCGGGUUUU
rnacentral:rRNA from 1 species